rnacentral:misc_RNA from 1 species
CUGAGUUAGGGUCUCACGGCCCGACCUCCAACCCACGUGUUAAAUUACUAUGUUGCUUUGGCGGGCCCGUCGUUAAGACCGCCGGGGACUUUGGUCUCUGGCCAGCGCCCGCCAAUGGCCCCCUUAAACUCAAUUGAAACAUGUCGAGCUUAGUUAUAUUUUAAUUGUUAA